GACGAACCGUCCAAACGUUAUUCGGAAUCACUGGGCUUACAGAGUUCGUAGGCGGUCUGGAAAGUUGGGUGUGAAAUCCCUCGGCUCAACCGAGGAACUGCGCUUGAAACUACCAGACUCGAGGGAGAUAGAGGAAAGCGGAACUGAUGGUGGAGCGGUGAAAUGCGUUGAUAUCAUCAGGAACACUGGUGGCGAAGGCGGCUUUCUGGGUCUUACCUGACGCUGAGGAACGAAAGCCAGGGGAGCGAACGGG
rnacentral:rRNA from 1 species